CCAUUUUUCUUUUGGAUGGCUGUAAACAUUAGGAUAAUGGGCAGUUAGGUGGCUCAUGGUUUAGAGUGCUGGGUCUGAAAUGAGGAUGACUCCUUUCCCUAAGUUAGAAUCUGGCCUCAGAUACAUGUUAUCCAUGUGACCCUGGGCAAGUCACUUAACCCUUUUUUGCCGCAGUUUCCUCCUAUAUAAAAUGAGUUGGAGGAAUGAAGGGCAAACCACUCCAGCAUUUUUGCCAAGAAAACCCCAAAUGGAGUCAUAAAAGAGCAUGACUGAAGAAUAACAGCAAUCCUUAGGAAGCUGUUCCUUUAAUUAAAUGAAGCUGCAUCUAACUUUGCUCCCAGUUUUAUCCUCAGGAACCAAGAAGAAUCAGCUUGCUCCAUGCUUCACCUGACACUCUUUAAAUACUCCAAGAGGGUUAUCAUCUCUGAUCUCCUCUCUUACCAAGUCUUUUAUUCUCUUAGAAGACCUUUAAGAUACCUUCCAACUAUAAGAUUCUACGGUUCUGUCAGAACAUACCAAUCCAUUUCAGAUGGAAGAAAUAAGCGAAAUGAGAAACAUGGGAUAUCUUUGUGGCCAGUGAACCAACAACUUAUGUCCAAGGAAUUGGGAGAGAGUUCAUUAUUUGUCAUUGGUUCACCAACAGGUAAAGCAGGGCAGCCCUUCUAGUGUCUGAACAAGAGUCUCCCGACACCUUAUCCUUCUCUUUUCCAGGAUCAAAACUAGAGUUUUUCCACCAGUUUCUCCACUUCUGAAUUCUGUAAUGAGGCUGAUUCCCUCCCAAUUUGGCUCCAAUACAAUUUUAUCUGACCUUGCUGCCACUCCUGUGUGUACCUUGGCUCCUCUGAAGCUGCCCAGUCCUGAUGUCUGACCUGAUCCUGACCCAGGACACCCAUUGUCCCUUGCCCUGGCUAGUUGUCUCCAUGCUUGCAGUCUUUACCUCACCCUCCUAUGGCAUCCUGACAUUGGACUCUACUUUAAAGGGGAAAGAGUAUCAUCAGGAUUUUAGUCUCAUUAACAGUAUGAUUUUAU
rnacentral:lncRNA from 1 species